rnacentral:tRNA from 1 species
UAUAUAUAUAUAUAUAAAUGUAAUGUUUAUAAAAUUUAAAACUAUUUAUACAAGUUAUAUAUAAGUAGUA